UUUUUUUUCUUAGCUCUUCGUCUGCAUGAUUCUUCCUUCCUCUCUUUUUUUUUUUUUUUUUUUUUUCUUAGCUCUUCGUCUGCAUGAUUCUUCCUCUCUUUUUUUUUUUUUUUUUUUUUUUUUUCUUAGCUCUUCGUCUGCAUGAUUCUCAUCAAACGAAGAUAGAUGGGAAAUCCAAAAGGGAGGAAUGGGUCAGAUCGGUGCUUGAUCUCUGCCUUCACCGCUGCCUGUCUUCCUCUCCACCGUUGCUUGAUCUCUUCCUCACUGCCAACGACAUGCGGCGGAAAUGGAGGAGCGGAGAAGAGAAAAGGGCAAAGUUUAUUGGUGA